rnacentral:rRNA from 1 species
AUGCUUGAUGACGACACUUGUUUGGUGAAUCACCUCUUGAAUGCUUGGUUUUGCACUAACGCUAACCACAUUUGUUUUUCCAAGUGUUUGUUCCAUUUGCUCCUUUUGAAGGAAUCACAAGACGGUGCGACAUUGGAGAGUGCCCAUUUCGAGCUUCAAGAUGACAAGUACUUGGUGAUCGUCCACUUCAACACGACGAUGCUAUCUCUUUCCCAUGGUGAUUUGGUCUUUGAUCCGAGGUUGGAUCUUUCCCAAGGGGGAGGGGAUGAUGCGGAGCAUCCUACGGUCAUCACCAUGUCAAGAGUCCGUUUGGCAAGUGACACGUGCAACCUCUACUUCUCAUACAUAAAGGUGAAUCUUCUCCUUUACACGUGUUCACUUGACCCCUUCGAGGAUGGUAUACUACUUGACACUUCUCCCGUGUGCAUGCAUAGGUAUUGUCAAAGCUUCACGGAUGUCGAGGAGGAGUGCAAGCGCCAAGGAACGACUACACCGUCCGUGAGGGAAGCAUGGAAGAGAAGGAGGAAGAGAACCUGGCCGCUCCAGAACGAGCGGUACUACCGCCCACUCCAAGCGGUACUACCGCUAAGGCCACCCAAGCGGUACUACUGCUAA